rnacentral:rRNA from 1 species
AACGAACGCUGGCGGCAUGCCUAACACAUGCAAGUCGAACGAAGUCUUCGGACUUAGUGGCGCACGGGUGCGUAACGCGUGGGAAUCUGCCCUUGGGUACGGAAUAACUCAGAGAAAUUUGUGCUAAUACCGUAUAAUGUCUUCGGACCAAAGAUUUAUCGCCCGAGGAUGAGCCCGCGUAAGAUUAGCUAGUUGGUGGGGUAAAAGCCUACCAAGGCGACGAUCUUUAGCUGGUCUGAGAGGAUGAUCAGCCACACUUGGACUGAGACACGGCCCAGACUCCUACGGGAGGGAGCAGUGGGGAAUAUUGGACAAUGGGCGAAAGCCUGAUCCAGCAAUGCCGCGUGAGAGAUGAAGGCCCUAGGGUUGUAAAGCUCUAUUACCAGGGAUGAUAAUGACAGUACCUGGAGAAUAAGCUCCGGCUAACUCCGUG